GAAAAAGAACAGAUAGAUGGGAAAGUACAUGCCAUCCUGUACUAUUUCUUGACGUACACAGGUACAUCCUGUGUUGAUUACUGAAACUAAAGUUGGAAUAAUAGUCACACCGCUGGAUAUAACCAGGUACUGCUAUUAGUUGCAGCUGCAGUUGUUGGAUCUGGUGGCAGUAAUGUAGUUAAUGGGUAGUGGUGGUGUUGUUUUGAUGAUGGAGAAACUGGUUCUAGUGAAGUGUCAGGUGGACUGGUUGGUAUUGCAAUGGAAUGAUGCAGGAGAUGACAUUACAGAUGUGCAAGUGAUGGCAAUUGUGGUUGGCAUGAGGCAGAGAUGAAGGAUCUGCAAUGUUUCACGCACUCUGUUUUUUGCUCUGUUUUAAUUCGUAAAACAGAGCAAUUAAGUACUCUGUUUUUUUUUACUCUGUUUUUAUUUGAUCUGCAAUGAAAUACUCUGUUUUUAUUUGAUUACUUCGUUCUUUUUCAGUCCAGUAGCUAUUUGAAGAAGAUAGGGACAUAUUUGUCUCUUCAGGUUAAUAAAUAAAAAAGAUUCUGGGUCAAA